rnacentral:rRNA from 1 species
ACUCCUACGGGAGGCAGCAGUGGGGAAUAUUGCACAAUGGAGGAAACUCUGAUGCAGCAACGCCGCGUGGAGGAUGACACUUUCGGAGCGUAAACUCCUUUAUAUAGGAAGAUAAUGACGGUACUAUAUGAAUAAGCACCGGCUAACUCCGUGCCAGCAGCCGCGGUAAUACGGAGGUGCAAGCGUUACUCGGAAUCACUGGGCGUAAAGAGCGUGUAGGCGGGUUAUUAAGUCAGAAGUGAAAUCCUAUGGCUCAACCAUAGAACUGCUUUUGAAACUGGUAACCUAGAGUAUGGGAGAGGUAGAUGGAAUUUCUGGUGUAGGGUAAAAUCCGUAGAGAUCAGAAGGAAUACCGAUUGCGAAGGCGAUCUACUGGAACAUUACUGACGCUGAGACGCGAAAAGCGUGGGGAGCAAACAGGAUUAGAUACCCUGGUAGACUGUCA